GUUUGGUGGUGUGUGCGGGAGGGGUACACUCAGUUCCAUUCCGAACCUGGUGGUUAAGGCUUUCUGCGCUGAUGGUACUGCACUCGUGGGGGUGUGGGAGAGUAGGUCGCUGCCAAACAA
rnacentral:rRNA from 1 species